rnacentral:lncRNA from 1 species
AAAAAGGAUAAUCGCCCAUCCUUUGAGAGUUCCUAGUUGGUUUGGGUUUGGUUAGUGAUGGCGGUUUCAUUGGCCAAGUCUCAUUGAGAAGGUUAUAGGCCAGGUCAUAGCAAUGUUACUGAAAAGUGCUGAUUCCACCUAAAAAAAAAUUCUCUGCCUCUUGGGACUACCUGGAGUUGUCCUCCUGGGCCCAUGACAAACUGAGGCAGUGAGAGACAUGCCCCAGAGCACACCAAGAACUCAUUUCUGGACGGUUCUGAACAGCUGAAGGGUCGGGAGGGGAGUAACUGCUGGAGCUCCCCGCUACCUGCACUGCUUUGCACAGAUAGACUUCAAGCUGGCGCCUGGCCUUAGCCCCUCCUUCGCGGUCCCGGGCCUGGGAAAGAAACACGUCCUGCACGAAUUCCUUGUAGCCUCCAAUGUUUUUAGAGUCAUCAAAAUCCAGGAGCAAGACAAAUGUAAAGAAAACUGGCGAUGGCCCAUGCUGAAGAGGGUGACCUUGAGGCCUUCAAUGUCUAACCAAGCCCAAGCGCUCCACAGCAUCUGCUUCAGCUGCCUUCAUGGCUUUUGGAACAAAUCAUUGUCAUCCACCCAUCCUGUGUAACUGUGAAAAUGUGGUUUGCCAAGACUGUGAAUUGCCAAAACUGUAAAGGUUUCAGCCAAACUGUAAAGAUAAUUUUUAGUGUCUUGAUUUAAAAUCUAAAGUUAAGUGGUCGCCAUGGGAAAAUUCCCAAAUGUGAAAAUACCCAAGUCAGCUGGGUUUUAUGGAGAUUUUAAUGAAUAUAAAUGAAGGAAUUAAGGGAAGGAGAGAAAGAGAGAGAAAGAGAAACUAGUAGAAAGGACCUAGGCCAAAUAACCUAGGCCUGAGCCUAAGGGAGAGCGAAUCAGUCUUUAUCACUCACCACAAGAUUGUCUUCAAGCAAGCUCCAAACCUCCAAAUUCCAACUCCAACUAACUUUCAAUCCCAAAACUCCCUCCAACUCAGUAAGUCCUUUCCAUUUAAAGAAAUUUUCUCUUAAAUCUCUGCAAAUGUGAAUUGGAGGGGAUGGUUAGCACUCAGAAGGGAUACCAGACUUCAUAAAGAGAUGACACCUGAACUGAGUCUUAAAAGAAAGUUAAUGAUACUGAAAAGCAACGACAAAGAAGGGAGUGCAUUCCAUGUAUGGUAGAGAACCUGUGCAGAUGCACUGAAGCAGAGUUAGAAUGUCAAGCUCAGAGAACAAUGAAUGGUUCAAUUUGACUGAAAAAUUGAAAGAGAGAAGAAGAGCAACAUGAAAUAAGGGUGGAAAGUUAGGAGUAUUUUGUGAUAAGAUUCCUUGAUAUUCCAUAAGUUUGUUGUUAUUUCACCAGCUAUUACUUACUUAGCAGCUAAUGACAUCCUCAAAAACAGAAACCUUCCCUCUGUCUUGAGUGGGCUAUAAGGGGAAAGAAGGGCACUCAUGCCUAGACUAGGCAAGGACUGAAAACAGGAUAGAGAGACACAAAAGGGGACAUUGCCCCCUAAUAGAGCUAGUAUAUGUGAAAUGGAGGAAAGGAAGAAAACUCCAAGUGUGACUUCUGGAACUGGCCCCAUUCCUGUGGAGGAUCAUUUCAAUAAAUUUGCUGCUAAUUUUGUAAUAUUUUAUACG